rnacentral:rRNA from 1 species
UACGUAGGGUGCGAGCGUUGUCCGGAAUUAUUGGGCGUAAAGAGCUCGUAGGCGGUCUGUCGCGUCGGCUGUGAAAACUCGGGGCUCAACCCCGAGCCUGCAGUCGAUACGGGCAGACUAGAGUGCGGUAGGGGAGACUGGAAUUCCUGGUGUAGCGGUGAAAUGCGCAGAUAUCAGGAGGAACACCGGUGGCGAAGGCGGGUCUCUGGGCCGUAACUGACGCUGAGGCGCGAAAGCUAGGGGAGCGAACGGG